rnacentral:lncRNA from 1 species
AAAAUGUUUUAUUUAGCUCAAACGUUACAACCGAAUCCACCUUGUAUGUUAGACACUGAAGAAAAUCAUGGGCAACAGUAAUACAAAAACAUUUCAGUUUUGAUGCCACAGACAAGGCACAAAAACCACUGGUCAGGGGACUCUCAUGAAGCUGCUUUCUGACCCUUCUUUGUCCUGUGGCUCCUCCUAUUCCCUUUUCGUUUAGUCCCACAAGGAAAAUUCUCAUUGGAUAGUGUCUAAUACCUUUGAUAAUGGAGUAGCUUUUCUCAAAGCCAAGAUGAGAGGCAAGCUAUUUGUGUCUCAUUCAGCACAGCCUCCCCCCACCCCCCGAAGAAGUGGGCCAGACCACAUUGACCUGUGUCCAGCCCCACUGAGAGAUCUCAACAAAACUUUUAACUAAACUGCUAUUUUGGCUCCCUCUAUAUAUGCCCCCCCUGAGAACCAUCCUCUGAGUUCUACCUAAAAUCCCCUUAUGCAGGGAAGAUGCCAGAUGGUUCGCUCCAGGCAGGUCACCUCCAAGCCCUGGAAUUCCAAGUCUACAUGCAAGUCUAAUUUGGCUCAGAAAUUCCUCUUCAGGAAAGAUUUUAAAAUCUUUCUUUUUUCUUUUUAAGGCCACACCCGUGGCAUAUGGAAGUUUCCAGGCUAGGGGUCGAAUCAGAGCUGCAGCUGCCAGCCACAGCAACGCCAGAUCCAAGCUGCAUCUUCGACCUACAGUGCAGCUCAUGGUGGUGCCGGAUCCUUAACCCACUGAGUGGGGCCAGAUAGAACCUGCAUCUUCAUGGAUACUAGACUCUUCUCCCCAAAUGUUUGGCUGAUUCUAGUCCCACAGGUAUUGUAGAAAUUGCAAAGAACCCUAAACAGACAGUCAUUAUAGGGCCUGGCUCUAUAAUUUAAAUAAUCAUUUGGGCGUUCCCACCAUGGCUCAGUGGAAAUGAACCUGACUUGUAUCCAUGAAGACGCAGGAUACCUGACUAGUAUCCUGGCCUCGCUCAGGUUAAGCAUCUGGCAUGCUGUGAGCUGUGGUGUAGUUUGCAAGUGUGGCUCAGAUCUGGCAUGGCCGUGGCUGUGGCAUAGGCCAGCGGCUACAGUUCCAAUUCGACCCCUAUCCUGGGAACCUCCACAUGCCGUAGGUUUGGUUCUAAAGAGACAAUAAAUAAAUAAAUAAUAAAUAAAUAAUCAUUUGUCUGCAGGCAAAUCAGGCUUUUUUUCAGGCUCGGUUUUAUAUUCUGCUUGAUGGGACCAUCAUAUCCACCCUCUUACCAAAGGGCUUAUUGUGAGGAUCAGAUGAGAUAAUGCAUGUUUAAGUAGUCUGUAAAUAGUAAGAUGCCAUAAAAUGACACACGUUGUUCUUAUCACCCUCAGGCAGUGAUAAAGCUCAGGGUUCUUCUACUUAAAGCAGCUCAACACUAUCCUUCCUCCACUCUGGUGUUAAAAGCUCCUUAACUUUGAGCUUCAUUGAUCAGCUUCCCAGGUGAGGAGGAGGAAGGAUUCUGGCAGGAAAACACUAGGCACUUUUCUCUUUAAGUACCUCGGCCCCUAUUUUAGCAGAUUUGAAUCUCUAAAUCUUAUAAAUCAAUUUCAAGUUACUGUAAGAUUCUGGCAGCAUUUACAUCGGAUGUUGGAAGGACCUGUAACAUAGAUUUUACUAUUCCUGCCCAUCCCACUUUGGGUCUUGAGAUGGAAGUAAUUGUUGACUUCCCAGGCUGAUAAUUUGAAUGCUUCAAAAAAAAAAAAAAAACAAUUUAUUUUUGCCAUUUCCCCAAUGGGCUCUUUUCUUUCUAUUCUUGAAAUAAGUUUUGCUCAGAAUGACAUCAAGGGAAUGAGACAAUUACCUGUAAUUCUUGUUGUCAGAUCUGAGAUUGUCACAACAGAUCUCUAUUCUAGGACCGGAAACAUCUGGAAGCCUCCUGAGGAGUGCUCCUUGCAUUCUUUUCUGCCUCGCAGUCUUCUUACUCCUGGACCCUGGUGAGACAGUCCCCACUGUCACAGCCACACUGCAGGGGGCUUCACCAUUGCCAGCCCCAAGGGAAUAAGAGUGACUUCACAAGACAUUUGAAGAAAAAAAUUUCUACACCCAAGGAAGCCUCAGGACCAAGUAUUUGGGGCAUACAAUGGGGUAUGAUCCAGUGCAAGAGUCUCCAAAUACAUGUGAUCAUAGGAGUCUCCUGAAAUAUAUGUUAAAAGUACAAAUCCUAGCUCCAGACCCACCCAAUCAAUCUCCAAGGCAGGGCCAAACAAUACAUUUAUUUUUAUUUUUUGCUUUUUUUAAAUGGCUGCACCUGUGGUAUAUGGAUGUUCCCAGGCUAGGGGUCUAAUCAGAGCCGCAGCUGCCGGCCUACGCCACAGCCACAGCAACGCCAGAUCUGAGCUGAGUCUGUGACCUACACCACAGCCCACAGAAACACCAGAUCCUUAAUCCAUUGAACAGAUUCAGGGAUCAAACGCACAUCCUCAAGGAUACUAGUCAUGUUCAUUACUGCUGAGCCACAAUGGGAACUCCCCCAGUGAUACAUCUUUAACAGCAAUCAAGUGAUUCAAAUGGUUAGGCAAUUUGGGGAAACACUGAUCCAACAGAAAAGCCCUUAGAGUCUAAAGACCUGAUUAGGUGUGUGACUUCCCUAAU